rnacentral:lncRNA from 1 species
GGUCUUGGGCAUGAGUUCUUGAUGUGAAAAAAAGAAAGGAGAGUCUUUUUUUUUGGAUGUGCGCAAAACCUAAUUUCUAGAGUUUUAUUCCUAAGGGUUUGGGAAGAGAUAAAAAAUAAGAGAGAAAUUAUUUUCUUCUCUAUCUUUCUUUUACCUCUUCAUCUCCUUCAGAAGUUUAUCUUUAAUCUCUAAAAAGAUUUUAGAGAUUUGAAGAAAAGAUCCAAAUCAGUCAAGAAGAAGGUCUUCGC